CGGAAAUAUUAAAAUGAAAUGAGUAUCUAAAUAUAUCAAAUGCGGAAGCGAGAUCAAAAUUUCAGUUAGCAUCCCUUACACGAAAAACCAAAAACGUACUUAAAAUAUAAAAGAUUAAACUAACUAAGAGAGAAACUCGAAAAUAAAACUAUGAGUAUGACUACAGAGUCUCUAGGCAUCCCCUUCGUCAUCCUCCUGUGGAACGGGCUCGGGAACCAUGUCUUCCUGAUCUGAAAUGGUUAAAUAAGGAGUGAGCUACACUAGCCCAGUAAGAACAUCACGAUAUCUCACCGUCACGGAGGUAAAGGUGGGUAGAAAA
rnacentral:lncRNA from 1 species